UUACUUGUUUACUAUGCAAAAUUAUAAUGAUUACUGAAUAAUACUGACUUGUUCACUAAUUAAUGGUAAUUUGGUUACUAUGAAAUAUUAUAUUGAUUACUAACUAAUACUUAAUUGUUUACUGCAUAUAAUUAUAAUGGUUACUGACUACUGUUGAGUUUGUUACUGUGUAUCAUUAUAGUGGUCACUAACUGAUGCUUGUUUGGUUACUCUGUAUCAUUAUACUGGUUGCUAACUGAUGCUUGUUUGGUUACUAACGGAUGCUUGUUUGGUUACUGACUGCUACUGAGUUGGUUACUAUGAAUCAUUAUAUUGGUUACUAACAACAUUUAAUUUGUGUUAUAGGUUGAGACAUCAAACUUAGUGAUUUUCACAAUUUACGAUGUUGCCAAACAAUAUAUUGUGGACAUCGAACAAAAGACAUGCACAUGUCGUAAAUUUCAGUACCAUGAGAUGUCUUGUCCACAUGUUGUUGUUGUUAUGAACAAACGAAAUUUGUGAUGUUAUGAUUUUUGUGACACUCCCAAAUCCAGGUACUUCAUUCCCACACGAACUGGUGUUCACUUAAUCAAACAUUCAUAUCUAACU
rnacentral:lncRNA from 1 species